UACGUAGGGUGCGAGCGUUAAUCGGAAUUACUGGGCGUAAAGCGUGCGCAGGCGGUUUUGUAAGUCUGACGUGAAAUCCCCGGGCUCAACCUGGGAAUUGCAUUGGAGACUGCAAGGCUAGAAUCUGGCAGAGGGGGGUAGAAUUCCACGUGUAGCAGUGAAAUGCGUAGAGAUGUGGAGGAACACCGAUGGCGAAGGCAGCCCCCUGGGUCAAGAUUGACGCUCAUGCACGAAAGCGUGGGGAGCAAACAGG
rnacentral:rRNA from 1 species